GGGAGAUCCAGUCUGCCACGUCUAACCACUAUGCCUGCACCUAUCUUUCAAGAUCUUUAAAAAGGAGUCAUUUCCUAUGGGACUGUUAGAAAUAGAAAAGCAGAAGAAUUACAGAAGGUGGCCUGGUUAACAGAUGCCGAAUAUUCCCACUAUGGUCUCCACAAAGAAGUUCUAAAAUUGUCUCUCUUGGGACUGAAGCAAUGGAAGUGUCAGCUUUUCCACAACCUUCUGGGACCUCUGACUUUAUCCUGUUGAACAUCAAGAUAAUUUCCUCACAGAAAUGAUUGCUGCUUAUGUUACACAUGGUUACUUUUGGACAUCUCACACCAUUAGAAGACUGGG
rnacentral:lncRNA from 1 species